rnacentral:rRNA from 1 species
GAUCCUGGCUCAGGAUGAACGCUAGCGGCAGGCUUAACACAUGCAAGUCGAGGGGUAUUGGUUUUCGGACCAAGAGACCGGCGCACGGGUGCGUAACGCGUAUGCAAUCUACCUUUUGCAGAGGGAUAGCCCAGAGAAAUUUGGAUUAAUACCUCAUAGUAUAGGUACUUUGGCAUCAAGGAACUAUUAAAGUCACAACGGCAAAAGAUGAGCAUGCGUCCCAUUAGCUAGUUGGUAGGGUAACGGCUUACCAAGGCUACGAUGGGUAGGGGUCCUGAGAGGGAGAUCCCCCACACUGGUACUGAGACACGGACCAGACUCCUACGGGAGGCAGCAGUGAGGAAUAUUGGACAAUGGGCGCAAGCCUGAUCCAGCCAUGCCGCGUGCAGGAUGACGGUCCUAUGGAUUGUAAACUGCUUUUAUACAGGAAGAAACACUCCGACGUGUCGGGGCUUGACGGUACUGUAAGAAUAAGGAUCGGCUAACUCCGUG